rnacentral:tRNA from 1 species
UCCCUGGUGGUUCAGUGGUCAGGACUCGGCGCUUUCGCUGCUGGGGCUUGGGUUCAAUCCCUGGUCAGGGAA